rnacentral:rRNA from 1 species
AACGAACGCUGGCGGCAGGCUUAACACAUGCAAGUCGAACGAGAUCUUCGGAUCUAGUGGCAGACGGGUGAGGAACACGUGGGAACAUCCCUUUCAGUUCGGAAUAACGUUGGGAAACUAACGCUAAUACCGGAUACGUCCUUCGGGAGAAAGAUUUAUCGCUGAAAGAUUGGCCCGCGUCUGAUUAGCUAGUUGGUGAGGUAACGGCUCACCAAGGCUACGAUCAGUAGCUGAUCUGAGAGGAUGAUCAGCCACAUUGGGACUGAGACACGGCCCAAACUCAUACGGGAGGCAGCAGUGGGGAAUAUUGGACAAUGGGCGCAAGCCUGAUCCAGCCAUGCCGCGUGAGUGAUGACGGCCUUCGGGUUGUAAAGCUCUUUUGUCCGGGAAGGUAAUGACUGUGCCGGAAGAAUAAGCCCCGGCAAACUUCGUGCCAGCCGCCGCCGUAA